UUAUCAACAAACCCUAAUAAAAAAAAGUAAAUAAAUAAAAUAAGUAAAAAAUAAAUAAAUCAUGCAAAUGACGCGGAAUAUGAAGCCCAUGCAUAUUUUUGCUGUCUUACGCCACCGGAGCAGUGAAGACAAAAGCACAGAGUGAGGAGUGACUGACUCACGGGACACGCUGGCUGCUGGAUCUCGGAGGGUGGACGGCAACAUGGCUGGAACAUUCACGCCUCACGUCUACUUCCCUAUCGUCAUUCAUCAUUUCAGUGCCUCCUAUGGUCUUGACUCUGGGAAGGCCUGUGGCUCUGAAGGAGUCUCCCAAUGCUCGUUUUCUGUCUAUCAACAUCCACUUUCCUUCUAGGUGGCUAUAUGUCUACAUUUGGAACAUAUAAACCGAAGAAAAUAAAGGAAGCUGACAUGCCUACAUGUGGCAGCCCUGUGUAGUGGUUCGCUCCAAACAACUGGGUGACACAAUUCUUCAAGCCAGUGAUUCAUAGCUUUGAUUUCCUGUCUUUUCAUGCUCUUGCUGUAUUCUUGAUAGGUGAAUUCUCAAGCAUAUAUUAUUUGCUCUGGAGAAUGCUGCCCCUGGAAAUGAGUGAAUGCAGGAAGGCAAACAUUUUGUGCAUACUGUCAGUGCAGUCUUUUGUAUUGUACCUGGUCUCCCUUCAAUAAACAAUCUCCUCAUUUGUAUAACACAUCAAAACAUCCUUAUAUGGCAAGGAAGAGAUUAAAAAAAAAAAAAAAAAAAAAAAAAAAAAAAAAAAAAACAACAA